rnacentral:rRNA from 1 species
AAUUGCAGAAUUCAGCGAGUCAUCGAAUCUUUGAACGCACAUUGCGCCCGCCAGCAUUCUGGCGGGCAUGCCUGUCCGAGCGUCAUUUCCCCCCUCAGCGCGCUCUCGCGCUGGCGUUGGGGCUCCUCCGCCCUCGGGCGGCAGGGCCCUCAAAACCA